rnacentral:rRNA from 1 species
UACAGAGGGGGCAAGCGUUGUUCGGAAUUACUGGGCGUAAAGCGCGUGUAGGCGGGUCUUUAAGUCAGGGGUGAAAUGCCAAGGCUCAACCUUGGAACUGCCUUUGAUACUGGAGAUCUUGAGUCCGGGAGAGGUGAGUGGAACUGCGAGUGUAGAGGUGAAAUUCGUAGAUAUUCGCAAGAACACCAGUGGCGAAGGCGGCUCACUGGCCCGGUACUGACGCUGAGGCACGAAAGCGUGGGGAGCAAACAGG